rnacentral:rRNA from 1 species
GUUUCGGCUAGGGGGUCAUCCCGACUUACCAACCCGAUGCAAACUCCGAAUACCAAUGAGUGCAAUCACGGGAGACACACGGCGGGUGCUAACGUCCGUCGUGGAAAGGGAAACAACCCAGACCGUCAGCUAAGGUCCCAAAGUGUAUGUUAAGUGGGAAACGAUGUGGGAAGGUUUAGACAGCUAGGAGGUUGGCUUAGAAGCAGCCAUCCUUUAAAGAAAGCGUAAUAGCUCACUAGUCGAAUCGGCCUGCGCGGAAGAUAUAACGGGGCUCAAACAUACCACCGAAGCUACGGACGCAUGCUUGCAUGCGUGGUAGAGGAGCGUUCUGUAGGCCGUUGAAGGGAAAGCUGAGAGGCAUCCUGGAGGUAUCAGAAGUGCGAAUGCUGACAUGAGUAACGAUAAGGGGAGUGAAAAGCUCCCCCGCCGGAAGACCAAGGUUUCCUAUCCAAUGCUAAUCAGGGUAGGGUGAGUCGGCCCCUAAGGCGAGGCUGAAGAGCGUAGUCGAUGGGAAGCAGGUUAAUAUUCCUGCACCACUCAAUAUUGCGAAGGAGGGACGGAGAAGGCUAGUCCAGCACGGCGUUGGUUGUCCGUGUUUAAGCGUGUAGGCUGGGAGUUUAGGUAAAUCCGGACUCCCUUAAGGCUGAGGCGUGAUGACGAGGUCCAUUAGGACUGAAGUGGUUGAUGCCAUACUUCCAGGAAAAGCUUCUAAGCAUCAGGUAUUGAGUGACCGUACCCCAAACCGACACAGGUGGUCAGGUAGAGAAUACCAAGGCGCUUGAGAGAACUCGGGUGAAGGAACUAGGCAAAAUGGUACCGUAACUUCGGGAGAAGGUACGCCGCUGAUGGUGAUGGGACUUGCUCCCUAAGCUGUUGGCGGCCGAAGAUACCAGGUGGCUGCGACUGUUUAUUAAAAACACAGCACUGUGCAAACACGAAAGUGGACGUAUACGGUGUGACGCCUGCCCGGUGCCGGAAGGUUAAUUGAUGGGGUUAGCUUCGGCGAAGCUCUUGAUCGAAGCCCCGGUAAACGGCGGCCGUAACUAUAACGGUCCUAAGGUAGCGAAAUUCCUUGUCGGGUAAGUUCCGACCUGCACGAAUGGCGUAACGACGGCCACACUGUCUCCACCCGAGACUCAGUGAAAUUGAAAUCGCUGUUAAGAUGCAGUGUAUCCGCGGCUAGACGGAAAGACCCCGUGAACCUUUACUAUAGCUUCACAGUGAACUUUGAACCUAUUUGUGUAGGAUAGGUGGGAGGCUUUGAAACUGGGACGCAAGUCUUAGUGGAGCCAUCCUUGAAAUACCACCCUGGUAUGUUUGAGGUUCUAACUCAGGUCCGUAAUCCGGAUCGAGGACACUGUGUGGUGGGUAGUUUGACUGGGGCGGUCUCCUCCCAAAGAGUAACGGAGGAGCACGAAGGUACACUAAGCAUGGUCGGACAUCAUGCGGUUAGUGCAAUGGCAUAAGUGUGCUUAACUGCGAGACAGACACGUCGAGCAGGUACGAAAGUAGGUCAUAGUGAUCCGGUGG